rnacentral:rRNA from 1 species
UACCGGAUAACAACACUAGACGCAUGUCUAGAGUUUGAAAGAUGGUUCUGCUAUCACUCUUGGAUGGACCUGCGGUGCAUUAGCUAGUUGGUAAGGUAACGGCUUACCAAGGCAAUGAUGCAUAGCCGAGUUGAGAGACUGAUCGGCCACAUUGGGACUGAGACACGGCCCAAACUCCUACGGGAGGCAGCAGUAGGGAAUCUUCCACAAUGGACGAAAGUCUGAUGGAGCAACGCCGCGUGAGUGAAGAAGGGUUUCGGCUCGUAAAGCUCUGUUGGUAGUGAAGAAAGAUAGAGGUAGUAACUGGCCUUUAUUUGACGGUAAUUACUUAGAAGGUCACGGCUAACUACGUGCCAGCAGCCGCGGUAAUACGUAGGUGGCAAGCGUUGUCCGGAUUUAUUGGGCGUAAAGCGAGUGCAGGCGGUUCAAUAAGUCUGAUGUGAAAGCCUUCGGCUCAACCGGAGAAUUGCAUCAGAAACUGUUGAACUUGAGUGCAGAAGAGGAGAGUGGAACUCCAUGUGUAGCGGUGGAAUGCGUAGAUAUAUGGAAGAACACCGGUGGCGAAGGCGGCUCUCUGGUCUGCAACUGACGCUGAGGCUCGAAAGCAUGGGUAGCGAACAGGAUUAGAUACCCUGGUAGUCCAUGCCGUAAACGAU